UUCCAGACUCCUACGGGAGGCAGCAGUGAGGAAUAUUGGUCAAUGGGCGGGAGCCUGAACCAGCCAAGUCGCGUGAGGGAAGACGGUCCUACGGAUUGUAAACCUCUUUUGCCGGGGAGCAACGGGGUCCUUGCGAGGGCCCGAUGAGAGUACCCGGAGAAAAAGCAUCGGCUAACUCCGUGCCAGCAGCCGCGGUAAUACGGGGGGUGCAAGCGUUGUCCGGAAUCAUUGGGCGUAAAGAGUUCGUAGGCGGCACGUAAAGUCUGGUGUUAAAGGCAGAGGCUCAACUUCUGUACGGCACUGGAUACUUGCGAGCUAGAAUGCGGUAGAGGUAAAGGGAAUUCCUGGUGUAGCGGUGAAAUGCUUAGAUAUCAGGAGGAACAUCGGUGGCGUAAGCGCUUUACUGGGCCGUAAUUGACGCUGAGGAACGAAAGCCAGGGUAGCAAAUGGGAUUAGAUACCCCAGUA
rnacentral:rRNA from 1 species